UACGUAGGCAGCGAGCGUUGUUCGGAGUUACUGGGCGUAAAGGGUGUGUAGGCGGUUCUUUUAAGUUUGGUGUGAAAUCUCCCGGCUCAACCGGGAGGGUGCGCCGAAUACUGAGGGACUAGAGUACGGGGAGAGGAAAGUGGAAUUCCUGGUGUAGCGGUGAAAUGCGUAGAUAUCAGGAGGAACACCGGUGGUGUAGACGGCUUUCUGGACCGUAACUGACGCUGAGACACGAAAGCGUGGGUAGCAAACAGG
rnacentral:rRNA from 1 species